GCAACAUGUUAAAUUGUACGUUUGGUCAAAAACAAUUUCCUCAACUAUGUGCUAUAUGCAUAUGCUUGUCUGUAGACCUGUACCACAUGUGACGUGCUCAUCGAGUCUUACUUUACUUCAUCGUUAUCGUUUCUUUCUGAAGUUGUACUAAAGUGUCUGCUACAUAGGAGGUAAUUUAAUGUGUAUGCAACCUUGGAAUGCAUUUGUGCGUUUCUGGUAUAGAGUGGUGCAGCUUGGUAAAGUUGUGGCAAGGUGGUGUGAAGUGGUCAGUGUUGAUGUUCCAAUCCAACGGGACACCACAUUUAGUUGUCUAGUUGUUUUUAUGUUGCUAGGCUGUUAGGGUUGCUUGACCCUACCGGGUUCAUGGUUGCUCUGUUGUAUUUAUCCAGUCUGGAUUUUCUUUUUAAUAUAAUCGGCAGCUCUUCUGACUGAUUCGUUUAAAAAACCCUUGGAACGAUCUCAAACUUGUUGUGUCUCAAUCCAAAAUUCACACUCUAGAAUCUAUAUUUGCCUGUCAAAUUGCUUUGAAAUUAAGUUCAUGUGGAUAAUAAUGUAUUCAAUUUGUCCCCUCCCUGAUAGUGCUAGAGCACCUGUAGCUAGGGCCUAGGGAUGAAAACCGAAACUGAAAAUCCCGAAAUCAGAGCCUCGGAACCAUGCCGUUUCCAUAAAGACUAUCAUUU
rnacentral:lncRNA from 7 species